CCUACGGGUGGCUGCAGUGGGGAAUAUUGCGCAAUGGACGAAAGUCUGACGCAGCGACGCCGCGUGUGGGAUGAAGCUCUUCGGGGUGUAAACCACUGUUGCCCGGGACGAAAUGCCCUUUCGAGGGAAUUGACGGUACCGGGUGAGGAAGCACCGGCUAACUCUGUGCCAGCAGCCGCGGUAAUACAGAGGGUGCGAGCGUUGUCCGGAAUCACUGGGCGUAAAGGGCGCGUAGGUGGCUUGGUAAGCGUGUGGUGAAAGUCCGGGGCUCAACC
rnacentral:rRNA from 1 species